GACGAACGCUGGCGGCGUGCCUAAUACGUGCAAGUAGAACGCACAGUUUAUACCGUGGCUUGCUACACCAUAGACUGUGAGUUGCGAACGGGUGAGUAACGCGUAGGUAACCUGCCUGGUAGCGGGGGAUAACUAUUGGAAACGAUAGCUAAUACCGCAUAAUAUUAAUUAUUGCAUGAUAAUUAAGUGAAAGGUGCAAUUGCACCACUACCAGAUGGACCUGCGUUGUAUUAGCUAGUAGGGGAGGUAACGGCUCACCUAGGCGACGAUACAUAGCCGACCUGGGAGGGUGAUCGGCCACACUGGGACUGAGACACGGCCCAGACUCCUACGGGAGGCAGCAGUAGGGAAUCUUCGGCAAUGGACGAAAGUCUGACCGAGCAACGCCGCGUGAGUGAAGAAGGUUUUCGGAUCGUAAAGCUCUGUUGUAAGAGAAGAACGGGUGUGAGAGUGGAAAGUUCACACUGUGACGGUAUCUUACCAGAAAGGGACGGCUAACUACGUG
rnacentral:rRNA from 1 species